rnacentral:rRNA from 1 species
GCGUGCAGGAUGAAGGCCUUCGGGUUGUAAACUGCUUUUGUACGGAACGAAAAAGCUCUCUCUAAUACAGGGGGUGAAUGACGGUACCGUAAGAAUAAGCACCGGCUAACUACGUGCCAGCAGCCGCGGUAAUACGUAGGGUGCAAGCGUUAAUCGGAAUUACUGGGCGUAAAGCGUGCGCAGGCGGUUAUGUAAGACAGAGGUGAAAUCCCCGGGCUCAACCUGGGAACUGCCUUUGUGACUGCAUAGCUGGAGUGCGGCAGAGGGGGAUGGAAUUCCGCGUGUAGCAGUGAAAUGCGU